rnacentral:rRNA from 1 species
GACGAACCGUGCGAACGUUGUUCGGAAUCACUGGGCUUAAAGGGCGCGUAGGCGGGCCAGCAAGUCAGGGGUGAAAUCCCACGGCUCAACCGUGGAAGAGCCUUUGAUACUGCGGGCCUCGAGGGAGGUAGGGGCGUGCGGAACUUCCGGUGGAGCGGUGAAAUGCGUAGAUAUCGGAAGGAACAUCGGUGGCGAAAGCGGCGCGCUGGGCCGUACCUGACACUGAUGCGCGACAGCAUGGGGAGCAAACAGG